UACGUAGGUGGCAAGCGUUAUCCGGAUUUAUUGGGUUUAAAGGGAGCGUAGGCGGCUUAAUAAGUCAGUGGUUAAAGGUAGCAGCUUAACUGUUUUACAUGCCAUUGAUACUGUUAAGCUUGAGUUGUUAGAAGGCAGAUAGAAUUUCUGGUGUAGCGGUGAAAUGCUUAGAUACCAGAAGGAAUACCGAUUGCGAAGGCAGUCUGCUGCAUACAUACUGACGCUGAGGCUCGAAAGUGCGGGGAUCAAACAGG
rnacentral:rRNA from 1 species